GGCGCGGCUAACUAGCUAGCACUAGCUGCAACUUUGCUACCUGCCUGCUGUUUGGUGCCUGGCAGGUGUGCAGUUGGUGGGUUUAUCACAGCUUCUUCUCUCAAAACAGUGCGGCAGUUAAUGGUUCACAAAUCCUGGCCAGGACUGAACGCCAUCUAGAAAACAUGGACUGGAAGACUUGGAUGCUGUUUGCGAGCCUUCUGUUGAUUUUUCCUGUUUGCACUUCGGCCCCUAAAGAUUGCCAUGAAGGAGAUAAAUCUAUUGUGAAACUCAAAGGAUGUAAAGGGAAACAGCAUUAUGUUGUUGCUGAUAACUUCUUUGCAUUCAUCAAUGCACGCAAACAUUGGAAACAGGGUCAAAAGAUUACCCCCAAUGCCCAACAAGCAAAAAAGAGUUGCGUCAUUUUUGUGAAGAAAAAUGAAAUUG